rnacentral:rRNA from 1 species
GACGAACGCUGGCGGCGUGCUUAACACAUGCAAGUCGAACGGAAAGGCCCUGCUUUUGUGGGGUGCUCGAGUGGCGAACGGGUGAGUAACACGUGAGUAACCUGCCCUUGACUUUGGGAUAACUUCAGGAAACUGGGGCUAAUACCGGAUAGGAGCUCCUGCUGCAUGGUGGGGGUUGGAAAGUUUCGGCGGUUGGGGAUGGACUCGCGGCUUAUCAGCUUGUUGGUGGGGUAGUGGCUUACCAAGGCUUUGACGGGUAGCCGGCCUGAGAGGGUGACCGGCCACAUUGGGACUGAGAGACGGACCAGACUCCUACGGGAGGCAGCAGUGGGGAAUAUGGCACAAUGGGCGGAAGCCUGAGGCAGCAACGCCGCGUGCGGGAUGACGGCCUUCGGGUUGUAAACCGAUUUCGCCUGUGACGAAGCGUGAGUGACGGUAAUGGGUAAAGAAGCACCGGCUAACUACGUG